AAUGUUUUAAAGACUAUAUAUGUGGCAACCUGUAAUCAGCGGUCACUUGUAUCUACUUCCUUGUGUGACCGCUUAAGACAGGUUUGACUGUAUUAUGCUAUUGGUUAUAAAAACUUAAAGUAAUUAAAAAAAACCUUGAAUUUGAACUUGUGGCCAAUACAAAUAUGUCAUAUUAACCCAGUUCUAUGAAAUAUUAUAUAAAAAUUCAAGAUUGCCACCAUGAAUCUACUGAAAUAGGAAAUGUAAUACAUUCACAAUAUUAGUAGCUAGGCUAUUCCUGUUUCUUAUUAUGACAAAGUUGAUAUAUUAUUGGUCUGCAAUGUUUUUAGCAGUCAAUUGUACAUACAAUUAACAUAAAUGCAGAAAUUACCAAUACAUGAAAAACUCAAUAUUACCAGAUGCCAUUAUUUUAUGACAUUUGAUAUAAAUAAGUGUGUCUAAUCGUUGAAUAUAAAAAAUAGUAAUUGUUACAGCUAUGUUUCCUCUGUUUCAUUUGACACAAACUUGGGACCAACCUGCCAUAACUUUGUGAAUUGAAUCUAUAUGGUAAUGGACAUAUUUUGAUAUUUAAAGGAUAAGCAAUGGAAAUAUCAACUGGCAACAUUUCUUAAAUUCAGCAACCUCAAAUUAUUUAAGAUGAACUUCAGGUACAAAAUGUAUCAAAUGUUUUUAUAACGCAUAUCUAGUACAUAUUGGAGCAAUGUAGGAGGCUUUCUACAAGGUUUGUGUCAAGAAGUAAUGAAACUAGUCUUAGUUUUUUUCAAGUCACUGUGCUAGCGCAUCAUCAAAGUUAUACGACUGAGUUAUAACCUCCAUUGCAGAAUUAUCUCCCCUUGCCGGAUGUCUAUAGUACUAGCAUGCAUGAGCAGUCAUUGAUUGCGGUCGUGUUUUAGUGUGCAAUUAUAAAAAUGUUUCUUUGUUUAUUAAAUUGUAAAGUGUUCGUAAUUUCUUCUCGCAUUCUGAUUCCAUUAACUACUUCAUAUGAGGUCGGUUUAAGGGUUGUGCUCGGGUUUUAUGAUGUCGGACACGGCUUCCUCCAGCUCUAACUGGCUGGUUGGUUAUGCCGAAGGCGGGUGUCUUAAAGAGUUGCCACAUUGCUGUGUUGUGCUCUCCCUUCACAUGGAGGAAGUUUAAGAAACUGUCUCGCGACGCUGAGCGCAAAACAAUGCUGAGGAAGGAAGGGGCUGACCAUAGUGUGGAUGCGACUUCUGGGGUCGUUCUCAAGUCUGAUUUGCUGGCAGCGCAGGGGCGCCUCCUCAUCAGUCCGCCAAAGUUAUGGCUAUGCCGGUAAAACGUAAUUGAAUAUGGUCCACAGAAUGUUGCACUCGACCCUGCGUCUCCUGGGAAUGUCACAGAAGGAGACAGUCUAAAUGUGAGCUGCACGGCACAGUGUAACCCGUCACCAUGUUCCUUCUCAUGGGCACUUGGAAAUAACGGAGUCUUGCCAGGGGCUCUAUUACCACUCCCAGACAUCAGCAUCAAUAAGAACGGAAGUGUGUACACGUGUACAGUUAACAAUACUGCUAUACCACGUUCUACAACAAUACAGUUCACCCUAACCGUCAAGCCUAAAAGUAAUUAUUAUAUUACACUUAUUAAUUGAUAACCCUCAAUACUGCCAUACCCAACUCCACAAUACAGUCCACGCUAAUUGUCAGCAGUAAAUGUAAGUGUUAUAUCAACUUAAUAAGUAUUAAACUUAAAAGAGUCUGGUGUAUUUCAGGUCCAUAUAGAUUUACAAUGACGGACAUUGUUUGAUACAUUAUAUUAUGUGUAGUAUAUUUUGCUUGUAACAUGCUGGAUGUUGAAAUGCCCAACAUGUACAUUAUAUGUAUGCAGAGCAAAAGAUACAUCUACAAGUUGCAACCCUGGCAAUUGCUGUGGUGGUUUCAGUAUUAAUUUGUUUUAAUACUCUCGCCCAGUCAUCAAGAAGAUAUAGUGGCUUGCCCGUACGUAACACAACAUCAUCACCGAUCUAGUGAUUUUAUCAUGAUUCUAUUCCAGCAUCAAAGGUCAAGGUCACAAUUACUAAAAAUAGAAAUAUGACAUAAUCGCUUUAGCUACUUCGUUUGUUAACCAAUUUUCAUGAAAUAUAAACUUCAACUCUAAGAAUAGUAUCAUGAUAUAUUUGCAGUUUUUAGUGUCUCGUUGUUAUUUGUUUUAAAGUUCUUUGGGGUGGAGUAUAAUUUGCACAAAUUAACUCAGUGCUUACAUGUUAUCCACAACUACUGCGAAAAAUGCUGUAGAUGUUAUGUGGUUGUUAUUUGUUUGGGACGCAUGCAUGUUGACUCGGGUCUAUCACAUGGAUAUUAUCGACUGCCAAGUUCCAUCAGGUAAAUUGCAACCAAAACUGAGUACAAAAGCAGGGGUGCACCAAAUGUUGAAAGAUACUAUUAUAUUGUACAAAUAGAAAUACUUCUUUUUUCUUUUCUUUUUUGAUUUAGUGAAACCCAUCUAAACAUUAUAUCCAUGGGCCAAAUUGAGCGCAAUUGAUCUAAAAGGUAUGGUUUCGAUUGAGGUAAAAGUCUGUGUUGUAUUCUCUUCAUCAUUAAAUAGGCAAAGAACAGCUACAACUAAUUAUGGAUGAAAUAAUGCAAUUUCUAAGCACUUAGAUUGGGGGUGGGGCGUUUCGUUAUUAAACAAGUUGACGUUCCGUUGGACCUUCUGACAUGCUGCAAUUUCAUUUGGAAAUGAAACACAGUUGAUAUCUUUCCCCGGAGCCAAGUUCAAAAAUUAAUUUAAUUAAAUAUACGUUUAAAAAAUUACAACAGAAAAAUAAAAUUCAUUACUGCCCCGUCACUGGCAUACAUACAUUGACUGCGACAAAAUAUCAACGAAUUCCAAUCUCGUUCCAAACUGAAAUAACUUUAUAAUAACAAAGCACCUAAUAUUAAAUAAUACACAUCAAUAGAAAGAAAAAAAAGAGUCCAGAAUGUGUUGAUGAAUUGUGUCGUGGUGGGGGUGGGGGGGGGGGGGAUGGGGGGGGGGGGGUAUUUUUUUUUACAGACUCACUUUCGCGUCUCCAAGCUUUACAGUACAUGAACUUGGAGCAUUCCUUAGUUGGGAUGGUGAUACGAAAGUGUGUCUUUUUAGCAAUUGCUAAUAAAGAUGUUAUAUUUUUGGGGUACCCAGCCUUGUUGGCA